rnacentral:rRNA from 1 species
UCGACUUGGAAGGUUGUGCCCUUGANGGCGUGGCUCCGGAGCUAACGCGUUAAGUCGACCGCCUGGGGAGUACGGCCGCAAGGUUAAAACUCAAAUGAAUUGACGGGGGCCCGCACAAGCGGUGGAGCAUGUGGUUUAAUUCGAUGCAACGCGAAGAACCUUACCUACUCUUGACAUCCAGAGAAUUCGCUAGAGAUAGCUUAGUGCCUUCGGGAACUCUGAGACAGGUGCUGCAUGGCUGUCGUCAGCUCGUGUUGUGAAAUGUUGGGUUAAGUCCCGCAACGAGCGCAACCCUUAUCCUUUGUUGCCAGCNCGUAAUGGNGGGAACUCAAAGGAGACUGCCGGUGAUAAACCGGAGGAAGGUGGGGAUGACGUCAAGUCAUCAUGGCCCUUACGAGUAGGGCUACACACGUGCUACAAUGGCGUAUACAAAGAGAAGCGAACUCGCGAGAGCAAGCGGACCUCAUAAAGUACGUCGUAGUCCGGAUCGGAGUCUGCAACUCGACUCCGUGAAGUCGGAAUCGCUAGUAAUCGUAGAUCAGAAUGCUACGGUGAAUACGUUCCCGGGCCUUGUACACACCGCCCGUCACACCAUGGGAGUGGGUUGCAAAAGAAGUAGGUAGCUUAACCUUCGGGAGGGCGCUU